CUAGAUAUUCCAAAAUAUUAUUAUGGAUUAAAUCCUUCAAAGAAUUAGAAAGCUAUUGAUAAUCCUGAAAAUAUUACGAUUAACAAAUCAAAUGGAAACCAUUGGAAAGAUAUUUUUGAUUCAAUGAAAUCUAAAAUGAUGAACGAUAAAUUUAUUGAAAAAGAUUACAAAUAUGCAUAUGAAAUAAGUAAUUUUAGUCGACAUAAUCAAAUGAAUGAAUUAAAUAAAUUUAGCGGUAAACGUUUACAAUUAUGGCCAUUAUAAAUAAACAUAUUUUUGAUUAUAUUGAUUAUUAAAAAAUCGUUCAAUUUUCA